UACGUAGGGUGCGAGCGUUGUCCGGAAUUACUGGGCGUAAAGAGCUCGUAGGUGGUUUGUCGCGUUGUUCGUGAAAACCGGGGGCUUAACCCUCGGCGUGCGGGCGAUACGGGCAGACUGGAGUACUGCAGGGGAGACUGGAAUUCCUGGUGUAGCGGUGGAAUGCGCAGAUAUCAGGAGGAACACCGGUGUCGAAGGCGGGUCUCUGGGCAGUAACUGACGCUGAGGAGCGAAAGCGUGGGGAGCGAACAGG
rnacentral:rRNA from 1 species